GUGCCAGCAGCCGCGGUAAUACGGAGGGUGCAAGCGUUAUUCGGAAUUACUGGGCGUAAAGCGCACGUAGGCCGUUUUGUAAGUCAGGGGUGAAAUCCCACGGCUCAACCGUGGAACUGCCUUUGAAACUGCAGAACUUGAAUCCUGGAGAGGGUGGCGGAAUUCCUGGUGUAGGAGUGAAAUCCGUAGAUAUCAGGAGGAACACCGGUGGCGAAGGCGGCCACCUGGACAGGCAUUGACGCUGAGGUGCGAAAGUGUGGGGAGCAAACAGGAUUAGAUACCCUGGUAGUCCACACCGUAAACGAUGGAUACUAGGUGUCGGGGACUUGAUCUUCGGUGCCGUAGCUAACGCGUUAAGUAUCCCGCCUGGGGAGUACGGUCGCAAGGCUGAAACUCAAAGAAAUU
rnacentral:rRNA from 1 species